AAUCAACGUUGGCGGCGUGCCUCAGACAUGCAAGUCGAACGAUUAAAGCUCCCUUCGGGGAGUGCAUAGAGUGGCGCACGGGUGAGUAACACGUAAGUAAUCUACCUUCGAGUGGGGAAUAGCAGUCGGAAACGACUGCUAAUACCGCAUAAUGCAGCGGCACCUAAUGGUGACAGUUGUUAAAGGAGUAAUUCGCUUGAAGAGGAGCUUGCGGCAGAUUAGCUAGUUGGUAAGGUAAUGGCUUACCAAGGCUACGAUCUGUAACCGGUCUAAGAGGACGGUCGGUCACACUGACACUGAACAACGGGUCAGACUCCUACGGGAGGCAGCAGUCGGGAAUUUUGGGCAAUGGGCGAAAGCCUGACCCAGCAACGCCGCGUGAAGGAUGAAGUAUUUCGGUAUGUAAACUUCGAAAGAAUGGGAAGAAUAAAUGACGGUACCAUUUAUAAGGUCCGGCUAACUACGUGCCAGCCGCCGCCGUAAGAC
rnacentral:rRNA from 1 species